UGUUGGGGAGACUUUUGAGGCAACACAGACAGAUAGCAUCUAUAGCUUGGGCCAUGUCACAGUCCUCUCCAUCCACAUGUCUAAGCUGGAAUAGCUGGGGCUCCUCAGAAAACCCUUCCUAUCUCUACACGGCCUCUCCUUGUGAUAUAUCCAGCAGAGCAUCUGCCUAGGGGCUGGCUGCUUAUGUGGCUGUUCAUGGCUCUAAAGGCACGCAUCAUGAGAGAGGCCACCAGGUGGAGGCUGCCCUGCCUUCCUGACCCACCUUCUUAGAAACCCUGGUGAGUCAUUUCUAGUACAUCCUAUUAGUCAAAGCAGUCAAAAGGCCCACCCAGGCUCAAGAAGAGAAGACUCAGCCUCCAUCUCCUAAUGGAAGAGUUGCAGAACUCUAGAAUGUGCAUGUGGGGUUGAAAAUACUGUUGCGGCCAUUUUUGGAAAAUACAAUCUGCCAUCAGACAUUUCACAGAUGCUGAGAGGCAGGACAGACCUCAGCUGAUAUCUGAGUUACAAUCAGAAAACAAAACAAAACAAAAAACCCAGCACUACUAUUGUUUAAGACAAAAUAUUAACAGAACUAAACUUCAAAUGAAACUAAGAUCCUUUGGAAGAACAUGGAAAGAGACUUUUAUUAUAGCAGAUUUACCAGGAUUGGCUGUGAAAAUCAUAAUGGAAACGGACAAGCCAUAAGAAAAAUGUUUCUCUCUUGUUCAGAACUUUCUGCAUGGCUCCAACAGUGCUGGAAAUUCACCAGGAAAGAGCUGGAGGAGGCCCCAGAGUCAGCAGGCUGGGAAACUGAGGCUCAGAGAAGGGAAGAUUUGCCUGCCAGACUCUAACGGCACCUCUGCUAGGACUCAGAUUGGCCCACGUGGGGUGUGGCACGUGCCUGAGGCCCCUGCAGUUCCCUUCCUUGCAAUGGGCAGGCCAAGCUGGAGAUCAUGCCAAAGAGUGUCAAACAGGAACGCGUCUUCCUUCUAGAAAUACGUUAUGGAUCAGCACACAGGCCCCUCAAGACCCCAGCAAUGCAGUUUGCCCAAAGCCUAGCACACAGUAACCCAGAAACAUGUGAAAAAUUAUGUAAAUGUUGCUGGUCUUUACACCAUUUGUCACUUUCAUUCUUAUCUCAAGGAACGGAGAACAGGGACAAAAAUACAGACUUCCUUGACGAAGGAUAAAGUACGCAUGCUGGUGCUAGCACCUGCCUCCAUUGUUUGAAAGAACGUAUGUGCACACGGAAGAAGCAAGACUCCCAAGAAAAAGAGCCGAAGUGUGCAAGGCUUCUUGAAGGCUCGGGUCAAAACAAGCAAAUGUUCUUCUUAUAAAUUCUGUUGGUCAAAGUAAGAUCCAGAGUCAGCCCAGAGGAGACAGUGGGGGAGAAACUCCACCUCUUCACAGAAGGAGCUACGGCGAAACAUGCAAAAAGAUGAGCACAAGGAGAAGCCAAGGCUCUUGACUGUUUGUGCCAGGUAAGAUGGAUGAGCACUCUUCAGCAUCUCUCCCUGGGACACACAGCUCUGAAAGCUGGAGACUGUACAAGAUGCUGUGUGAGGAUUCUGAAAGGCUAUGAGCAGUCCGAACCUGUGGAGGAGAACCAGCAUCGGAUGAACCAUUGACUGACUAACAAAAGGACAAGACACCGAUGAAAAUGAUGGCCCAGAUGAUCCAGCAUCCAGAAAAGCUUCUAGGCUGCUGACUGAGAUGAUCCAGUCUCACAGAAUACUACAGCUAAGACUUAACAAUUAUCUUAAAUUUUCUCAGGUCCUCUAAAGAUUACCAGUGCCCCCUAUCAUCAGGAAGUAGUCUAGAAAUGAUGCCCACAUUCCAAAAAAAAUGAAUUAUGGAUAUUUAUUAUCAUUUUGGGGGGGUUGGUUACAAGUUGUUAUUGGUAAUGGUCAGGAAAAAAGCUGAACAAAGAAGAUUAGAUUCAGGGAUCUUGUUCUGAAAAGAAAAAGGGGGAUAUAGAAAUGAUAGGAUAAAAGGGUAGAUUAUUGAAUCUACUUUAAUCCAGAAAACAACUGUUAAUCUCAAAAUAUUUUACAUUGGUAUAGGUUUUAGUUUACUAACACAAAUUUAAUUUUGUUAUACUGUAUGUAUUUUUCUACUCUUGUUUAGGGUAUUAUGUGUAUGCAGCUCAUUUAAAAUGUGACAUGUAAUUAAGAAAUAAAGAUUAAUCGUUCUCUAUCAUAGCAAACUUAUAGUCAUGUUAGAUACAUUUUCAAGGUCAAACAAAGAUAUAUUUCAGAUAGAUAGGGGAUCUUCAAACACUGCAAAGACCUGCAGAAUAUGACAUUUAA